CUGUAUUUAACCAUACCAUGUCCUGGUGCACAUCCUUUGCCCAGGCCUGGCCAGAUGUCCUUCAGGAGUAGCACCCCAACACUGGUGUGGGUCCACCAUGGGUAAGCUGAUGCAUAAACUCACCCAGUGACUGCACCAGGAUAACCUAGAAACAGCCAGGGGGAAACUAACAGCUGUGAAACAACUGAAGCCCCCCUUUCAAGGUAGUCUGCCAAUUUCAGGACAAAGAAGGAGGAGGAUGACCCUAAAUAUACAGCAAAUGCAGUUUGUUAUGACCCAGCAGUGGGAUGUUCUCCACUUGCAUUAUCAUUCACCUGACCUCAGUCCAGCUGAGCAGGUGUGUCACUCACCGAAAAUCAGGCCGACGGCAAAAGCCCAGUUUGCAGUUCAUAGAAUCACCAGGGGAGAUAUACAAAUUUCCAGAGAACCAGAUGGAGCUUGUGAGUCAUCAGGAAAGACAGGAUUACAUGUUUCUUACCUUGAAAGCUUUUGCUAGGCCCCCCACCCCCGCAGCCUAAAUGUACGACGCUGUCAGCUGGUGAUUGGAGUCUGGUGACGCAUACGCAUUGAAAUCAUGACUCAUCGAGCUCCAAGUUAAGGGAGAUGCUCCUACCAGUGAUGAGGAAAACAGCCCCUCAUGGAGAUAUAGAGCAGUUCUCUCUGGUUUGAUUCUCUUGGCUGCUGGAGGAAAGGAGUUGGAUUUCUGGCAGACAGGCUUAUUGGCAGAAAGUCAAUUUGUAUCCUUAACCUACUUGUGGAGUUGCAUAACUUUUCCUCCUCCAGAUUAAUUUCACUGACAAUAUCUCUUUGUUUUCAUACAGUUUCCCAACUGUGAAACUAUACUCUAAUGAAUGCUGCUUUAAGUCUGUUAAAUAAAUGUCAAAAUCA